rnacentral:tRNA from 1 species
CCAGAUAGCUCAGUUAGUAGAGCACCUGACUAGAGAUUCAGGGGGCCCGGGUUCGAAUCCCGGUCUGG